GUCCCUUAACCACCCUCUUCUGGAAGCCUUUGGCUUACUCCCCACCACCACCACCACCGCCACCCCCUGAGUGGACUAUAAAAAACUCUUAAUUUUCUUUCUCAGACUCUUUUGCAGCAGAGAGGUAGCUGGUGGCAGCGUGCUGAACCUUUCGGCAUCUUGGCAUGGUGGAAGCUAUUGUCUGGGUUAGUGCACUUGGCCCUUGUACUGAAACAUGUAAGCAGAGACCAAGAGAAGACAGAUACCUUGUC
rnacentral:lncRNA from 1 species